rnacentral:rRNA from 1 species
AGCCGCGGUAAUACGUAGGGGGCGAGCGUUGUCCGGAAUUACUGGGCGUAAAGGGUGCGUAGGCGGAUAUACAAGUCCGAUGUGAAAUGCUUCGGCUUAACCGGGGAGUUGCAUUGGAAACUGUAUAUCUAGAGUGCAGGAGAGGGAAGCGGAAUUCCUAGUGUAGCGGUGAAAUGCGUAGAUAUUAGGAGGAACACCAGUGGCGAAGGCGGCUUCCUGGAUUGCAACUGACGCUGAGGCACGAAAGCUGGGGCAGCGAACAGGAUUAGAUACCCUGGUAGUCCCAGCUGUAAACGAUGGGUACUAGGUGUUGUCACUUCAUUGUGGCAGUGCCGGAGUUAACGCAAUAAGUACCCCGCCUGGGGAGUACGGCCGCAAGGCUGAAACUCAAAGGAAUUGACGGGGGCCCGCACAAGCGGUGGAGCAUGUGGUUUAAUUCGAAGCAACGCGUAGAACCUUACCAGGGCUUGACAUCCCUCUGACUGGUAUAGAGAUAUACCUUCUUUUCGGAGCAGAGGAGACAGGAGGUGCAUGGCC